rnacentral:rRNA from 1 species
UACGUAGGGUGCAAGCGUUAAUCGGAAUUACUGGGCGUAAAGCGUGCGCAGGCGGUUUUGUAAGACUGUCGUGAAAUCCCCGGGCUCAACCUGGGAAUGGCGAUGGAGACUGCAAGGCUAGAGUUUGGCAGAGGGGGGUAGAAUUCCACGUGUAGCAGUGAAAUGCGUAGAUAUGUGGAGGAACACCGAUGGCGAAGGCAGCCCCCUGGGUCAAAACUGACGCUCAUGCACGAAAGCGUGGGGAGCAAACAGG